rnacentral:rRNA from 1 species
GGGGCUUACGGGCAGCUUACCAUGCAGUCGAGGGGUAUAGUAGCAAUACUAGAGACCGGCGCACGGGUGCGUAACGCGUAUGCAAUCUACCUUUCACAAAGGAAUAGCCCAGAGAAAUUUGGAUUAAUGCCUUAUAGUAUUACGACUUCGCAUGGAGAUGUAAUUAAAGAUUUAUCGGUGAAAGAUGAGCAUGCGUCCCAUUAGCUAGUUGGUAAGGUAACGGCUUACCAGGGCAACGAUGGGUAGGGGUCCUGAGAGGGAGAUCCCCCACACUGGUACUGAGACACGGACCAGACUCCUACGGGAGGCAGCAGUGAGGAAUAUUGGUCAAUGGGCGCAAGCCUGAACCAGCUAUGCCGCGUGCAGGAUGACGGUCCUAUGGAUUGUAAACUGCUUUUAUACAGGAAGAAACACUCCCUCGUGAGGGAGCUUGACGGUACUGUAGGAAUAAGGAUCGGCUAACUCCGUGCCAGCAGCCGCGGUAAUACGGAGGAUCCAAGCGUUAUCCGGAAUCAUUGGGUUUAAAGGGUCCGUAGGCGGCUUAAUAAGUCAGUGGUGAAAUCCCUACGCUUAACGUAGGAACGGCCAUUGAUACUGUUAGGCUUGAAUUAUUAGGAAGUAACUAGAAUAUGUAGUGUAGCGGUGAAAUGCUUAGAGAUUACAUGGAAUACCAAUUGCGAAGGCAGGUUACUACUAAUUGAUUGACGCUGAUGGACGAAAGCGUGGGUAGCGAACAGGAUUAGAUACCCUGGUAGUCCACGCCGUAAACGAUGGAUACUAGCUGUUCGGAGCAAUCUGAGUGGCUAAGCGAAAGUGAUAAGUAUCCCACCUGGGGAGUACGUUCGCAAGAAUGAAACUCAAAGGAAUUGACGGGGGCCCGCACAAGCGGUGGAGCAUGGUGGUUUAAUUCGAUGAUUCGCGAGGAACCUUACCAAGGCUUAAAUGUAGAUUGACCGGUUUGGAAACAGAUCUUUCGCAAGACAAUUUA